rnacentral:lncRNA from 1 species
AUGAAGAUUGUGGAGUUCAGGAUCCUGCGAGGAGAAAGCAGGGUAAUAAGUAGGAUCGCAACCCUGGACUUCAGGAGAGCAAACUUUGGCCUCUUCAGGGACCCACUUGGAGGAAUCCCAUGGGUUAUGGCCCUAGAAGGAAGGGGGGUUCAAGAGAGCUGGUUAAUAUUCAAACAUCACUUCCUCCAGGCUCAAGAGCAGUGUGUCCCUAUGAGUAGGAAGUUAAGCAAAGGGGGUAGGAGACCUGUGUGGAUGAGCAAGGAGCUCCUGGCAAAACUCAACCAGAAGGAGGAAGUAUACAGAAAGUGGAAAGGGGGACAGGCCACUUGGGAGGAAUAUAGGAACAUUGCCAGAGUGUGCAGGGAUGCGAUGAGGAAGGCUAAGGCCCGUUUGGAAUUAAAUCUGGCAAGGGAUGUCAAGGAUAACAAGAAGGGCUUCUUCAAAUGCAUCAGCAGCAAAAGGCAGACUAGGGAAAAUGUGGGCCCAUUGCUGAAUGGGGUGGGUGCCCUGGUGACAAAGGAUGCAGAGAAGGCAGUUACUGAAUGCCUUCUUGCUUCAGUCUUUACUACUCAGGCCAGCCCUCAGGAAUCCCAGACCCUGGAAGCAAGAGAGAAAGUCUGGAGAAAGGAAGACUUUCCCUUGGUUGAGGAGGAUUGGGUUAGAGAUCAUUUAGUGAAACCUGACACCCACAAAUCCAUGGGCCCCGAUGGGAUGCACCCACGAGUGCUGAGGGAGCUGGYGGAUGUUAUUGCUAGGCCACUCUCCAUCAUCUUUGCAAGGUCAUGGAGAACAGGAGAGGUGCCUGAAGACUGGAAGAAAGCCAAUGUCACCCCAGUCUUCAAAAAGGGCAAGAAGGAGGACCCAGGGAACUACAGGCCAGUCUGCCUCACCUCCAUCCCUGGAAAGGUGAUGGAGCAGCUCAUCCUGGAUGUCAUCUCCAAGCAUGUGGAGGAAAAGAAGGUGAUCAGGAGUAGUCAGCAUGGCUUCACCAAGGGGAAAUCAUGCCUUACCAAUCUGCUAGCCUUCUGUGAUGGAAUGACUGCCUGGGUAGAUGAGGGGAGAGCAGUGGAUGUUGUCUACCUAGACUUCAGCAAGGCUUUCGACACUGUCCCCAUAACAUCCUCAUAG